ACGAGCCGGAUAAGCCGAGAGGCUUACGUCCGGAUCUGUGGGGGACGGCGGGUGAAAUCCCCGCCGUCUACCCGGC
rnacentral:ncRNA from 2 species